GAGGAACAUCCACGCCGUCAGCUGUGACAGGCUCGGCCUCCCAGCUCUGUGUAUCUGUACGGGUGUUCUUGGUCUCGCCGGAGCGGUUGUUUACGCAGUGUAUGAAGCCGAUGGACACUCGACAUUUUCUUCCGGUCUCUACCUUGUGUUAGUUGGUUCUGCGUUUUGCCUACUGUGUGGGAUACUGUUGUUGUGUCGGAAGCCAAAGCAGGAUGAAGAUGAUCUUGAUGAUGACAGUUUCCCUAGCCCGCCUGUAUACAGCUCCACCAUCAACCCAGUGUUUCCUGAAUCGACGCAACUGCAGGCUCUUGAAACUGAAGUCUUUUACUAAGCAUAUUGAAUGGAGCUGUUGAAUAAUUCAUCGUGAAACACGCAUGUUUGGCACAUGCUAACACUCUAGUCAUGUAUGUCCUGUUAUUGAAGACGUUUUGAAAGAUUUCGAUGACAAUGCGUUAAUGAUAACGAUUGAAGACAAUCAAUUUGACCUACACCAAAACCAUGCAGUGUUGUUACAUUAAUGGAUGUAUAUCCCUGUGUUCACAUUUUCAUAUCAUAAUAUUGAAUCUGCAUGUUUCUUGAUUCGUAACACGACAUAUGUGCAUAUAAUGUUUAUUACAGGUAAUAUUUUAUGUUUAUUUUUGGCCUUUGUGCGUCAUCAUAUAUGUAUAUACGAUGCUUAAUAGUGACAUCUCUCAGUACCUGUCCCAAACUGUAAAUUUUAGGAGGACCUUGAAGUAUAAUAAUACAGACAAUAAUUGUAAUACGUCAGUACUAAAGUGAAAUGUGUAUAGCAAUACAUCUACAUUAGAUCAAGUUAACGGAUCGGGGCGGUGGGGUAGCCUAGUGGUUAAAGCGUUGGCUCGUCACGCCGAAGACCCGGGUUCGAUUCCCCACAUGGGCACAAUGUGUUAAGCCCAUUUCUGGUGUCCCCCCGCCGUGAUAUUGCUGGAAUAUUGCUAAAAGCGGCCUAAAACUAAACUCAGUCAUUCAGUCAGGUUAACGGAUCAGUGUCCGUUCCAUUUUCGUUCUCAGUUCCCUUCGGAGUAUACGACUCAAACUGCUCGUGAGGCGAUAACCGGCUAUCAGUCACAUUACCAUCUCAUCCUACCGGGUAUCCCUCGUUGAUGGCUGAAUAGAGACACAUUACGAAGAAAGUCGUUUGCCUAGGGUGAUAACAUAUGUGCUUCAUGUGGAACGAGUCUGGAUCAGCCCGGCCAGAUAGACGUAUGUAACAACGGUAACAUAAUCAGCGAACAUAUUGUGUCCCUAUCAACAUCAUCUGUCAGAUAUACAUUAUAAAGCACCAAAUGUGUAUGAUGUGACAAGACAAAGGACUUGUACGUGCUGAACAUAGACGAAUAAAGUUCUGUUAACUGAAA